GAGUUUGAUCGUGGCUCAGGAUGAACGCUAGCUACAGGCUUAACACAUGCAAGUCGCGGGGCAGCAUGUAUCUGGCUUGCCAGAUACGAUGGCGACCGGCGCACGGGUGAGUAACGCGUAUCCAACCUGCCCAUAACCACGGCACAGCCCGUCGAAAGGCGGAUUAAUGCCGUAUGAGGUUCCAGAGUAGCAUUAUUAUGGAACGAAAGGAUUGGCGGUUAUGGAUGGGGAUGCGUCCGAUUAGCUUGUUGGCGGGGUAACGGCCCACCAAGGCGACGAUCAGUAGCCGGACUGAGAGGUUGGCCGGCCACAUUGGGACUGAGACACGGCCCAGACUCCUAC
rnacentral:rRNA from 1 species